rnacentral:lncRNA from 1 species
AGGGAAUUCUAGGUCACUCUAAUUACCAUCACUCUAACUUAAACAUAAUGGCAGGUUGCCUUUUGAAUCAGAGUCUGAUGGUGUAAAGGAAUUUGAAAAAUGAAACAAACUUUUAAUCAGGUGUGUUUGCAAAAGAUUGAAUUAACAGUCACAUGGGCAGAAGAGACAAUCUGUGAGAUGGAAAUAAUACAUCUUAAUUUCCAUUUGCCCAUAAUUAUGAUUGUCAUGCCAACUAAUCACAGACUAUGUUGUGAAUUUCUCAAGAUUUAGGGACAGGUAAAAUUAGAAUAAUGACUUUGAUCAAAAAAUCGUGUGUUAAUGGUUGUAAAUGAAUCCAUCCUCUUGGACCGUCUCGUGUCACACAGGAAGAAGGUUCCUGCUUGAUCCUCUUGAGCCCUGUUUUGUUGGAGCAUCUGCUUCCAUUGACUCUGACAGGAGCACUUUCCUAAGGGAACCCUUCUUUCCCCUCUUCCCUUCUAAUUAUGAUUCAGAAUGUUUCUGUCCUUCCCUUAGCUUCCUGCAUUGGUCCAAAGCUGUGUUCAGUGAUUUCUCCGGAGACGGAGCACAGCUGACAACUCACCAUAGGCAACCCAGAUGCGACAAGGAGUCUUCUAAGAAUUUGAAACUAUAAACAAGAAAAAAAUUUACCCAAGCAGCUUAAGCAAAGAGAUUAUCCAUGUAAAUAUAUCUUUCCUGAUGCUUCAAAGACCUUCCAGAGAAGGGGCUUUUAUUACCCUGCACCCAGUGUGUUCUUAAAUUUGCAUUUUGAUACUACCAAUGAUGACUGUUGUGGUUCUGCCUCUUUAAAAGAAUGAUACAAUGUAAUAAUUAUAGCUAUCUAGCUGCUGAAUUGGAUGACCUGCUCAUUUUCUUGGCUGGUGAUUCAGCGUUCCUUAACAUUACCUGCACAUAGAAUGACCUGGGGAGGUUUGAAAUAUUGAUGCCUGAAUCCCAUCACCAGAAACUCUAAUUUACAUGGGCCAGUGUGUAGCCUGAGUCUGGGGAUUUUUAAAGUCUCCCAGGUGAUAUAUACAUGCAAGCCAAGGUUGAAAAUCAUUGCCUAAAUUGUUUUUGCUGGCAUAUACUGAGCACUUAUUUUGUUCUAGCUAUAAAAUGUUCUGGCCCUGUGCUAAAUGCGUUACAUAUGGCAUCUUGUUUGCUCAGCAAGAUAGCUCUUUGAAGUUGCAAAUGAUAUCUCCAUUUUACAGAUGAGGACACUAAACUCAGGCUAAGUGAAUUUCUCAAAGUCAUGUGUCUGGUGAGCAGCAAAGAAAGGAUUUGAACCAGAUCUGCCCACCAUCCUGUACUAUCAACCAUCAUCAUUGGUGGAAGUUUUGUGGCCAAGAUAGAACGGAUGGCUUGUUUAUUUUAUUUUAUUUUAAAAAUUUAUUGAAUUAUAGUUGAUUGACAAUGGUGUGUUGAUUUCUGCCAUACAGAAAGUAAUUCAGUUUUGCAUAUAUAUAUAUAAAAUAUUUUUCAUAUUCUUUCCCAUUAUGGUUUAUCAUAGGAUAUUGAAUCUACUUUCCUGUGCUUUAGAGUAGGAUCUUAUUGUUUACCCAUCCUAUAGAUAAUACUUUUCACCCGUUAAUCCCAAACUCCCAAUACAUCCCUCUCCUUUUCUCCACCGUUGGCAACCACAAGUCUGAAGCAAAUGGCUUAUUACAUGUUAGGUGGAUUGCAAGGGCAUUUUCUUAUGGAGCAGGAGAUUGAGCUGGCCAGAAUUUUCCAAACUUCCAGAAUGCUGAGAAGUUUCUGGAGUUCUUGGGCCUCUUUUCCAGAACCUGAUUAAUAAGCAUUUCUGAGUUGGGAGUCCAAUAGUUUGUUGUCACUGCUAUUGUUAGAAAAUGCUUUGGUUGAUUCUGACUUUAGGGAAGCACUGGACUAGAUGACUGUGUGGAAUCCUGGGAUUCUGUGUGAUACAUUCUCCAGAUCCUUCCAGGGAAAAGUCAGAGGAACAAUGCUUCUGAAUCCUGUUGAAAACAGGUGAGAGGGACAAUCUUUGUAAAACACAUUCCUAAAAUACAAGCUCUGCAUGUAAUCCUGUUCCCUGUAUUUUGAGGCUGCUCUGAGUUUACUAUGUUGGCCGUGUUGGGAUGGAUGCCUUUUUACAAGCCUUUGAUCCCGAUCCAUCUUAAGAGUUGAUUAUGCUCAUCGUUGCCCAACUCUUUUUUGCAUUCAGUGAUAUCACGUUGGUAGUUUGAACUUGGCCAUCAUGAAUUCUUAACAAUUUUUAAAUAAGCUUUUAUUUUAGGAUAGUUUUUGAUGAGAAGAAAAGUUGCAGAGAUAAAACAGGGAUUUCUCAUAUAUCUCUUGGUGGGAGUUUUGACACCACAGAAAUCGGAAAAUGUUAAAAAACACAAUUUUCCUCCUGUCCCACUGACCUCAUCUUCCAACCCAUUUUUAAACCUUAAGUACUAACCAAAGCUGCUUACAUAGGGUCUAACCCUUUCUGCCUGGAAAACUGAAAUGUCACUUAAGAGAUAUUUUCUGAUUUUUCAUAGACUUUUGGUUUUGGUAAGAUUCUACUUUAAAAAUAUUCAAAUGUAGGAGGUACAUACCCAAAGAUUGAAAAUGAAAUACAAUUCUACUUCUUCCUGAUAAAUUUUAAGUGAUGGUGAACUUGAUGGAAAAAGGGAAAUGAUACCAGUAUUUUAUCUCACAUAUCUAAAGAGAAGUACCAGAUAAAUUUGAUCUAAAGAAUUAUGUAGAAGCCCAACCUAGGCUCACCCUAAACCUCAAGGUAAUAAUGUAUUGUAAUGCAUUCAUAUUUUUUGAAGUGCUUACCUGAAUAGAAGUUUCACCUCAACCCAUGAGAGAAAUUUACUUCAUAUUUUCUUCAUUAUAGUUUAGUAUUUCUAAAUUUCUGCCUUGGAGACCUAAUGACCUAAUGAAAUAUUUUCAGGGUUUUAGAGAGGGUCUCUAUUUAAAACACAAAAUAAUACUUAACCAGGGAUUUCCUGUUGUAGCUCAGCAGUAACAAACCUGACUAGAAUCCAUGAGGAUUCGAUCCCUGGCCUGGCUCAGUGGGUUAAGGAUCAGGAGUUGUCAUGAACUGUGGUGUCAGUUGCAGAAUGGCUUGGAUCCUGCAUUGCUGUGGCUGUGGUGUAGGCCAUAGCCUAUAGCUCCAAUUAGACCCCUAGCCUGGGAACUUCCAUAUGCCAGGAGUGUGGCCCUAAAAAACAAACAAACAAACAAAUAAACAAACACCUACACAUUAUUACAUGUGAAAUCAGUGUGAACUUAACUAAAUCAAACUCCUCAGUCAAAUACAAGUCCAUUUCUCACUUACUCCAAAAUAACAUUUCCUUCCCACUCUAGUGAAGAAUGAUUCUUCUGCCUUCUGAUUUACUGUUACUCCUCAUACUGCCAAACUAUUCACUUGGCAUUUAACACCAAGAAACCUGUCUCUGUGCAAGAUUCAUUUUUUAGAUUAAGAGAACUUCUGUUUUGUUGGAGAUCUCUUGCUUUGGUAUUCAUCUUACCAUGCAUGCUUUUUAAAAUCUCUACUAUAUAGAUUUCUUAGAAUCUUCAGUUCCUUAAUAUCUUCUGUUUUGAAGGGAUUUUAAUGGUCUCUUUUCCGCCACCUGUUUGCUGAUAUUUCCUCAUGAAACUUCCUCCUUAGAGAACAGACUUCUGGUUGCUGUGAGGGAGGGAAGGAUUAGGAUUUGGGGAUGAGCAGAUGCAAACUGUUAUAUAUAGAAUGGAUAAAUAACAUGGUUCUAUUGCAUAGCACAAUAAACUAGAUUCAAUAUCCUGCGAUUAACCAUAAUGGAAAAGAAUAAGAAAAAAUUCAAUAAUUCCUUUCACAAAUGUUUUUUCUUUUUCUUUUUGUCUUUUUCUAGGGCCGCACCUGCAGCAUAUAGAGGUUCCCAGGCUAGGGGCUGAAUUGGAGCUGUAGUCGCUGGCCUACGCCAGAGCCACAGCAACAUGUGAUUCGAGCUGUGUCUGCGACCUACACCACAGCUCAUGACAGCGCCAGAUCCUUAACCUACUGGGCAAGGCCAGGAACAAACCCUCAACCUCAUGGUUCUUAGUUGGAUUUGUUAACCUCUGAGCCAUGAUGGGAAUGCCUCACAAAUGUAUUUUUAGCAAAUAUGUUAUAUGCAAAAACUGUACAGACAUUAGCCCGGCCAUUGGGAGUUACAGUCUACCCAAGAAAUGGCUAUUGAGCCAGAGCUGAUUUCGAGGUAUUGUGAUCUGUGUGGUUACAUGGGACUCUGUGUUUGGAAAGACCCUCAAACUUCGUUAAUGUUAAGUCUUGGUGUCUUGAAAUUCUUCAUAGUUUUUGGACUCUGGGCCCUGAAUUUUCUUUGGUGCUGGGCCUGUAAAGUAGGGAGCCAAUUCUGCAUCUAGCUGUUGGUCACUGACUCCAACUUUCCUUUCUUGAUAAAUGCAAUUGCUUAGUUUGUAAUUAUUGCUUAUUAGGUAUUUUCUGAUUGUAUGGAAAAGAUUCCCUGCAGGAUCUUGCUGAUCCCACCAAGGGAGAUCAAAUCUAGGGGUGAGUCCAAUCUCUCUGAAUGUAGAAUGUUUUCACAGCGGAAUUGACUUUUAUUGUAUAAUUAAAUGGUUUGAUGUUAGACAUAGAAAAAUAGACUUUUCCAAUAAAUAGACAUAUUAUAUUAUCUUAGGUAACUAACAUUAAAGGCAAUUUUUAUAACACUAAAAAUUAAUGUUUUAGGCUUUGUGCACAAUGUUGGUAAUAAUAAUUUAUACUAAAAAUAUAAUAACAUCAGGGAUAAUCCAACUGAGAUCUCUUGUCUCAUUUUCACUUAAGCCUAAAGUAUUAAGAACACCAGUUGGCAAGUGUAGGUUUUGAAUAAUCAAUUAGCAAAGCCUAACCCAUUACUUAAUGUU